GAAACUGAGCAGGAGACAGCAAGGAUUUGGGGGAUAAUGGCAAGGAACCAGCAGGGACGCCCGGAACCUUUCUGCUAUGCUUUCUACCCGGACGAGUCGGGGAGGAGACCGGAAGUCCUUUGCCGCCGGGUUCCGGGGUUCCUGGGCUACUACGAUGGCGAUGAGUUUCGAGUGGCCGUGGCAGUAUCGCUUCCCGCCCUUCUUUACGUUGCAACCGAACGUGGACACUCGGCAGAAGCAGCUGGCCGCCUGGUGCUCUCUGGUCCUGUCCUUCUGCCGCCUGCACAAACAGUCCAGCAUGACGGUGAUGGAAGCUCAGGAGAGCCCGCUUUUCAACAACGUGAAGCUACAGCGGAAGCUCCCUGUGGAAUCAAUCCAAGUUGUAUUAGAGGAACUGAGGAAGAAAGGGAACUUGGAGUGGUUGGAUAAGAACAAGUCUAGCUUCCUGAUCAUGUGGCGGAGGCCAGAAGAAUGGGGGAAACUCAUCUAUCAAUGGGUUUCCAGGAGUGGCCAGAACAACUCCGUAUUCACUCUGUAUGAACUGACCAAUGGGGAAGACACAGAGGAUGAGGAGUUCCAUGGGCUGGAUGAGGCAACUCUACUGCGGGCUCUGCAGGCCCUACAGCAGGAGCACAAGGCUGAGAUCAUCACCGUCAGCGAUGGCCGAGGCGUCAAGUUCUUCUAGCAGAGACCUGUCUCCCUUUACUUCUUACCUCCCACCCUUCCAGGGCUUUCAAAAGGAGACAGACCAAGUGUCCCCACAGACUGGAUCUGUGACUCCACCAGAUUCAAAAGGGCUCCAGUCCAGGGAUGGGUUUCUUACCUUCACCAUGUGUCUGUCCCUGGAAUAGGGUGAGGCUGGGGUGCCAGGGAGAAAAGAUGUGCAUCUUCUUGCCCCACCUCCUCUUCUGAACUGGGGUCUGUAAACCUGACACUUCACAUGUGUUCACAUAAGUUCAUACACACAUGCGCCUGCACAAGCUUCUGUCUCUUCCCUCUCCUACCCUCUCAGCUGCUGCCACCUCCCCUCUCAGGCUGGUGCUGGAUCCUUCUUAGGGGAUGGGCAAAGCCCUGGCUGCAGGCAGCCUUCCAGGCAAUAUGAAGAUAGGAGGCCCAGGAAGGGGCCUGGCAGUGAGAGGCGGGCCGGACACAGAUUUAUAACAUUAAAAAGCUCAACCCCA